rnacentral:rRNA from 1 species
CUGGGAUUAGAUACCCCACUAUGCCCAACCGUAAACAAUUAACUCACACCUAUAAGCGCCAGGGAACUACGAGCCAUGCUUAAAACCCAAAGGAUUUGACGGUGUUCCACCCAGCUAGAGGAGCCUGUUCUAUAAUCGAUGAUCCCCGAUACACCCGACCACCCCUAGCUUAUCAGUCUGUAUACCUCCGUCGAAAGCUUACCAUGUGAACGUCUACAGUAGGCCCAAGGACCCGCAUUAGCGCGUCAAUACGUCAGGUCAAGGUGCAACUUAAGGAGUGGAAAGUGAUUGGCUACAAUUUCUAACCUAGAACAAACGAAAGACUGCGUGAAAUCACAGUCACGAAGGCGGAUUUAGUAGUAAGAAGAAAAUAGAGAGU